rnacentral:lncRNA from 1 species
GGGUUGAAUCAGAGCUGUAGCCACCGGCCUACGCCAGAGCCACAGCAACGCGGGAUCCGAGCCGAGUCUGCAACCUACACCACAGCUCACGGCAACGCCGGAUCGUUAACCCACUGAGCAAGGGCAGGGAUCGAACCCACAACCUCAUGGUUCCUAGUCGGAUUCGUUAACCACUGCGCCACGACGGGAACUCCCCCACGAUUUCUUUUUAGUUUAUCUCUUAAAUGAGGUGUGCGUUUGGGUUGUGGUUUUUCCAUGUAGACACCUGAGUAUUCCAGCACCAUUUGUUGGAGACUGUGGCUCCCACCUGGAAUGACUUUUGCUCCAUCGUCACUUGGCCCUCCUUGUACGGGGCUAUUUCUGGACUGUUCUGGUGCCGCCUUGCCGUCUGUCCCCAGGGCGUUCCUGAACAACCAUGGGGCUCUUUACAAGCUCCGCCCUUGCUGAGAUCUUUGUUCCCCCACCUGCCAUCCGGUGGUGGGAGGCUGGGGAGAAGGAGCAGGGGCCCCUCCUGGAUCACAGCCUCCCAUCAGUCGGGGGCAAGCGUCCCGUCCCCUGUGUGAAGCUUCUGCAGACCUCUGCUGCUGCCACUGUCGCUGCUGCCCCUGCAAAACUGCCUGGGAGGUGGGAUGUGAGAAAACAAGCUUCUGUCCCGGAAACGACAGGAGAGCGCGGGUCAGAGGUCGCACCUGGGUGUGGCUGUGUCUGGCGAGACCCUCCUCCGUCUUGUCAGGGACCCGAGCUUCCUGGGACAUGACUCGAUGUGUCCCUUUGGAGAAGCGGGGGCAAAGCAGUGAGAGAGGGCAGGGCACACAGACGUGCUGGUCGUGGGGGCGGGGCUGGCGCUGAGAUGCCCAGAGGUGGUUGGUUUCUGGAUGGUUCUGCAGGUGGAACGCCCAGUUUACUGAUGGAUUAGAAGUAGGAUGAGGCCAGGAGAACCCGGGAGGUGGGGGCAAGGUUUGUUCUGAGCCACUAGCACAGGUGCCGAGGCAGGAAGGACGGAGAUGCCAAGGCAGGAAGGACCGAGACGGGAGCCUGGGGCAGGGUGCCGUGCAGCCGGGUUUGGGCUGUUGAACUGGAGAUGCCUGUGAGAUGGUCGAGGGGCCACACCGGCCAGAAGCUUGGAUGCCUGAGAUGAGUGUAGGCAGGCGGGGGGGUCCCCUGUCUGGCUGGGCAGCACCACUGCCUGCUCCCUUGGGACGUCACUGCAAGGUCAUUGCUGAAGGUGACUGGUGUCCCUGUGAGGGGCUUGUGCCCCGACUACCUGUCCGGCUGCACGAGGCAGGGACGUCAUUAGUAAUUAGUGGCCCCGGCUGCCUGCUGGCCCUAUGGAGACCCCAGGGCUGUGCUGGAGCCAGAACAACGUGCUCCUGGACCUGACUUUUCCACCAGCCCUUUUUGGUGUGUGCUGCCCUGGGGUCAGCUGCUCUGGGGGGCGUGGGGCCUGGGCCGGGGGGGGGGUGGCGCGUCACAUGAAUGUGUCUGUCCGGAGCCAGUGCAGCACCUGUGAAAAAGCUGUGUCACCUGGAGGCAGAGGAGCUUGCGGUGGGGACAAGGUGAUCACCUUUGAGAGGCUCGGCGGGCUGUUGAGGUGCCACCGAGGGGCAGGACAGCUCCCGGGGAGCUCUAGCAGAGCAGGUGUCCCCUCGACCGAAGAAGCAACUUGCAGGCAAAGGUUUGGGCAGCCGCAGCAGCAGGGCUCCUAGGCCAGCAGCCCUGCAUCCCCCGCCCAUAAUCGGGGCCCCUCCCCUUGCCUCUGCAGCCUGAGGGCAGACACAGCACAGAGUGUGAUGUGGAAUUUCCAGAAAACGGGGGAAGCUAAAAGGACCAAAUAAAAGGAACGAAAAAGAAAAAAGGAUGACAAGAUCAAAGCACAUGGACCAGGAUGGACGAAUGGGCAGCGGGUCAGCCACCUGGCUGUGCACCUGCCAGGGGACCGAGGAGAGCAGGGCCUGGCCGGGCCUCCAGCCUGCGGCCCUGCAGGGCUGCCCGCUCCUUCUCCUUCCAUUGCAAGGCCUCUUGCUCCAGGUCCCCUCCAACUGCACCCCAAGUUCACCCUCUGGAGCCCCGGUGAUGCACAGAGGUUGUGGUUGACCCUGCAUCCAGGUCCCCCCACUCCCCCUAGAACUCAGUCCCAUCAGGCUGUGACCCCCUCAGCAACCAGCUGGGCUUGUCCCGGGGCUGGGGUUGGGGGGAAGGACGCAUGUUCCUCCUGGUCGCCUUUGGAACACCCCUCGGGCUCCGAGUCUCUGCUGCCUCUGUGUAGAUGGCUCCCCGCCCUGCACCCCACUGUCUGCACGGACUCUCCGAGAGAGGCCCAGGUUGACCCCCCCCGCCCCAACCCCGGGCAGCAUCCCGAGAGCUCAGCACAGACUCUGGGUCCCUCUGGGGUCUGCUGGGCCCUGCACGGCUGGCUCUGCCUCCUCCAGCCCAGCCUGGCCACUGGGCCACCGUGCCCUGGCUGCCUUCACUGGCCUGGCUGCAGUUCAGGCCCAGCUCGCACGCUUCCAACCCCCUCAGCCUGCAGGCCUCGCUCUGCACCCUCUGGCCCCGCCUCCUGGAAGCCCCCCCCCGCCCCCCGAGAGGCUGGCCCCCCAGUCUCUGUCACAGUGGCUGCCCGUCCCACGCUCAUGACGGGACUGCGAGAGGGCCAAGAGCAUCGCUUUGCACACGUUUGGUGCCGACUGAAUACAUGCAGACUCUGCGUAGAUUCGUGCUGGGUUGCCUGCCAGGCCAGCCUUCUGGCCCAGGGCUGGGGGCUUCUCCAGCACACAGGUCAGGUGGGACCCCAGGGGUCAAGGCGAAGCGAAGGCUGGCUGCAGACCUCAGUCCCCGAAACUCAUCCAAUGAAACUUGUUCCCUGGCGGAUGUAGCCUGAGAUGGGCCUUGUCCACUCACCUGCAGGAUGGCCUCACUCUCUCUGCAGCAUCGUCCAGGCAGCACCUGCGCACUCCCACGGGAGAGGCUUCCACACACCACAGCGCCCUCCAGGGUCUGACAGCCCUGAAUCCUAAAGCGCAAUGACCACAGAUUUCUGGCCUGGUUUUCCAGAGUCACCAGGAACACGCCCCCUUCACAGUCGGCAGCUCCCCUCCCCACUGGCACAGGCCUCCAGGUCACCUUCCUGACUCUGCUGCUGCCACCCCUUCCCCAUCCGCCACGUGGAGGGAUGGACGGACGGGUGGGUGGACAGACAGAUGAGUGGAUGUGUGGAUGGAGGGGUGGGGGGAUGAGGGGAUGGCUGGGUGGAGGGCUGUAUGGGGGCUACGCACGCGGAGCAGAGGGGGCCUGGCUCGCCGGCCUGCCACCUGUGCCCCAGGCAAAGGAGAGGCGUGAGGCUUCCUCGUAGGCGCUGCCGCGUAGAUGGAGAGGAAAUGGAGUCACGAUGAUCCAGGUUUCAGAUGAAACCGAAAAGCACCCCUGGAUCUGUCUGCACUCAGGAUGAACUCCCUCCCGAGCCUGCGAGCCCAGAGAGCUCCGAGGGGCCCCAUCCCCAGGUCAGCAGGAGGAAGGGGCGAGGGCAGCCGGGCUGAAGCAGUGGGCAGUGGGAGGCCGAGCUCACGUGAUCUGGCCGUCGCAGCAGGAAGGUUGCAGGAGGAAAUCAGCAGACUCCCUGGGCGGCUUGUGUGCAGCUGUAGUCACCUUCACCAGGCGCCACAGGAGGAGGGACCCUCAGAGCUUACUGGCCUCUUUGCUCUGCCCACGGGGGGCAUGCCCCAGUGAGUCGGGGGACUGUUCUGUCCGCUGAGGCCCUGGCAUCAUCCUUGAGCACAGGGCCAGGCAGGAAAGGCACAGCCUGGGCAGAGCAGACCAAGGGUUGGGGGGUGGGGUGUGCAGAGAGGCCGGCUGGUCAGCUUGGUUUCUGUCCUUGGGCCUGGCAUGUCUCAAGGGGCCGGCAGGGCACGUGCGCUGGCCACUUGUGGUCCAGAAGCUCUGUCCCGCUGCCCCCUGUGAACCAGUGAGGACAGGGAGAGAAUUGCGGCAGGAGGAGCUUAGAAAGCCUGGACCACAGGAUGCAGGUGUCGCCUUGGAAACACCAUCAGCGAGCGGGGGAUGGAGGGGCAGGGUUGCCUCCAGGUUUCCAGCUUGGUUUCUCACCCAUCUCAGAGGGUGGAGGUGUCUUUAGCAGGAAGGGAUGUGAAUCUAUUUGUGGCUGUUGGUGCCUGAGGCAGGGGGGGAUGCGCAAUUCCAUUUCAGGCAGUGAGUUUGAGAUGCCGGUGAGGCCUGGUGGGGGGUGGGCUGGGCAGUUGGCACCGGGAGUCUGGGCAUAGAGGGCGGGGAGACCGUGUACUCUCAUCGGCACCCAGCAGGGGUGGACCUUCCCUGGUGCCUCAGCUCGCUGGGGCCGCGUGACGUCUCCGCACCUGGCACAGUGGGAUUGCUGUGUGCCAGCGCUGGGGGCUGGAUGCGGGGCUCUGGUGAGGAGGGCACCUGCUUGGGGGUUAGGGCUGCAUCACAGGAAUCUGGGGGGACAGUCCAUCCACAGACUCAGGAUGGGGGGAUGGACAUUUUGAGGCGGGGCGGAGAAUGGAAGCCUGAGGAACGUCACUUCCCAAGCCCGUUUCUCAGAGCAGAGCCCUGACUUGGAGAUAAGGCAGCUCGUGGAUGGCGCCAGAACCUGCUUGAACAGCUCAGGCGGUUCUCUUGCCUCCUGGUCUAGGGCAGUGCCGCCCCCCAGUCAGCACAUGGCAGGGCAUUCAUCCCACAAAGCCGGGUUCUGGGUUCCUGGGGGGCCCUUGGGCAGCAGUGGGGGUUGGGACCAAAGCGCCUGGCACUCCAACACCACAGGACACUCAGGCCAGGUGGGCUCUGUUGCCGGAGAGGGCAUCAGGGACAUCUGCUGCUGGUCCACUGGCCACCCCAGGACCACUCGGGGCUCAUGGCUUCUUCCUAGGGGAGAGAGGCCUGGAGCCCACACGGGGUGCAUGGGGCAUCUGUCUGCAUCUCUCUGGAUCCGGGCACUCCUGGGCCUCCAGGUUCUGAGGCAGGGAGGGAGGUGAACUGUCCACAGGCACCUGCGAUUGAGGACCAGGCGCGGCCAGGAGCCCCUCCCUGUUGGCCCAGGUGGGCCUGCACCCACCCCCGGCAGAGCCUGGCAUGGGCGUCUGCUCUCUCCGCUGUGAGAACCGGGUCCUGGGCCCGCCUUGGACCUGCCCCCCCGCCCGCAGUGCAGUCGUUGUGGGAACUGCCCCGGGGGUGUCCGUCCACACGUGUGAUCCCAGGGAGGGAGGGGCCGACCCCCGCGCGGAGCCUGGCUCUGGGGCUGCUUUGGUGCUUUUGAGGCUGGUAGUAAUCGGCUGUUGUUAAACGUGUUCAGAGCCAGUUAGGCACCUGGAGAAGAGGAGCAGCGCCGAGGACCUCGGCACAGUCGCCCCACGUCCCACCCCUCGUGAGCGGGGACCUAGCCGCUGAGUCACAGCUUGGGAGAAGACACAGCGGGAGGACGACAGACCCAGUGGUGUAAGCCGGCACCAGCUGACUCUGCUGAUGGAUCGUCUGGGGCAGGAAUUGGGGCAGAGACGGCUCUGCCCUUGGGCGCUGGGCACCCACACGCCGCCCCGCCCCCUGUGGCUGGGCUUCCUCACAGCCUGGUGGCCUCAGGGCCUUAGGAGGGAGCAGUCCAGACCCCGAGGUCACAGAGACCCUUCUGUCGAGUCCCGUAGCUGAAACUGUCACAAGCCCACCCAGAGAAGGGGAGCCGUCUGCUGGCGCCAGGCUCGAGCUGUGACCGAGGCUUCCAGAACCCCUGGGCCCUGCCUGUGGGCGGUGUGUAUGGCUGGUGAUGGUGGCCACUCAUUGUCCCCUGGCAUCGGCUCUUCCUGUGGAAGCUGUCCCUCCUCUUCAGCCGCACAGCCCACCGUGGACGAGGUUCCCGUCGAGGGAACACAGCCCCCUUCAACCCCGGCCCACACUCCUCUCUUUGCCGUCUCCGGACUUUUGCCCUUUCCACGUGUGACCCUUACACCUGGAGCCGUACGCCGUGCGGCCUGUCGUGACAUUUCCUUCACUUAGUGACGUGCGUUUAAGGUUCCUCCGGGCCUCUUCAUGGUCUGAUGGCUCACUUCUUUUCAGCGAUGAAUAAUGUCCCGUUGCCUGGAGAGACAC